rnacentral:rRNA from 1 species
AGUGAACGCUGGCGGUAGGCCUAACACAUGCAAGUCGAACGGCAGCACAGUAAGAGCUUGCUCUUACGGGUGGCGAGUGGCGGACGGGUGAGGAAUACAUCGGAAUCUACUUUUUCGUGGGGGAUAACGUAGGGAAACUUACGCUAAUACCGCAUACGACCUACGGGUGAAAGCAGGGGAUCUUCGUACCUUGCGCGAUUGAAUGAGCCGAUGUCGGAUUAGCUAGUUGGCGGGGUAAAGGCCCACCAAGGCGACGAUCCGUAGCUGGUCUGAGAGGAUGAUCAGCCAAACUGGAAGUGAGACACGGUCCAGACUCCUACGGGAGGCAGCAGUGGGGAAUAUUGGGCAAUGGGCGCAAGCCUGAUCCAGCCAUACCGCGUGGGUGAAGAAGGCCUUCGGGUUGUAAAGCCCUUUUGUUGGGAAAGAAAAGCAGCAGGUUAAUACCCCGCUGUUCUGACGGUACCCAAAGAAUAAGCACCGGCUAACUUCGUG